rnacentral:rRNA from 1 species
ACCGGCUUUUUGGGAUUCGCUCCACCUUACGGUAUCGCAGCCCUCUGUACCGGCCAUUGUAGCAUGCGUGAAGCCCAAGACAUAAGGGGCAUGAUGAUUUGACGUCAUCCCCACCUUCCUCCGAGUUGACCCCGGCAGUCUCCCAUGAGUCCCCGGCAUAACCCGCUGGCAACAUAGGACGAGGGUUGCGCUCGUUGCGGGACUUAACCCAACAUCUCACGACACGAGCUGACGACAACCACGCACCACCUGUGUACGAGUGUCCAAAGAGAACCCCGUCUCGGGGGCUUUCUCGUACAUGUCAAGCCUUGGUAAGGUUCUUCGCGUUGCAUCGAAUUAAUCCGCAUGCUCCGCCGCUUGUGCGGGCCCCCGUCAAUUCCUUUGAGUUUUAGCCUUGCGGCCGUACUCCCCAGGCGGGGCACUUAAUGCGUUAGCUGCGGCACGGAACUCGUGGAAUGAGCCCCACACCUAGUGCCCAACGUUUACGGCAUGGACUACCAGGGUAUCUAAUCCUGUUCGCUCCCCAUGCUUUCGCUCCUCAGCGUCAGUUGCGGCCCAGAGACCUGCCUUCGCCAUCGGUGUUCCUCCUGAUAUCUGCGCAUUCCACCGCUACACCAGGAAUUCCAGUCUCCCCUACCGCACUCUAGUCUGCCCGUACCCGAUGCAAGCCCGAGGUUGAGCCUCGGGAUUUCACACCAGACGCGACAGACCGCCUACGAGCUCUUUACGCCCAAUAAUUCCGGACAACGCUUGCGCCCUACGUAUUACCGCGGCUGCUGGCACGUAGUUAGCCGGCGCUUCUUCUGCAGGUACCGUCACUUGCGCUUCUUCCCUGCUGAAAGAGGUUUACAACCCGAAGGCCGUCAUCCCUCACGCGGCGUCGCUGCAUCAGGCUUGCGCCCAUUGUGCAAUAUUCCCCACUGCUGCCUCCCGUAGGAGUCUGGGCCGUGUCUCAGUCCCAGUGUGGCCGGUCGCCCUCUCAGGCCGGCUACCCGUCGACGCCUUGGUAGGCCAUCACCCCACCAACAAGCUGAUAGGCCGCGAGCCCGUCCCCCACCGAAAAACUUUCCAACCCACACCAUGCGAUGCGAGCUCAUAUCCGGUAUUAGACCCCGUUUCCAAGGCUUAUCCCGAAGUGGAGGGCAGGUUGCUCACGUGUUACUCACCCGUUCGCCACUGAUCCACCCAGCAAGCUGGGCUUCACC